rnacentral:ribozyme from 1 species
AAAAAAAAAAAAAAAAAAACUGUGUCAAAAAGCGGACAAUUUUGCGUUUUUGUUCUUUUUUGCUGUUU